rnacentral:rRNA from 1 species
CCCUUAGAUGUUCUGGGCCGCACGCGCGCUACACUGAUGCAUUCAACGAGUCUAAAACCUGCUCUGAUAGGGGUGGGUAAUCUUUUGAAUGUGCAUCGUGAUUGGGAUAGAUGAUUGCAAUUUUUCAUCUUCAACGAGGAAUGCCUAGUAAACGCAAGUCAUCAGCUUGCAUUGAUUACGUCCCUGCCCUUUGUACACACCGCCCGUCGCUCCUACCGAUUGAAUGAUCCGAUGAAUAUCAUGGAUUGAGGAUGCAAGUAGAUUCGCCUAUCUUCAUCUUCGAGAAGUGAAGUAAAUCUUAUCAUUUAGAGGAAGGAGAAGUCGUAACA